GUUUCCCGUUGGCAAAUCGUUAACUUUUCGUGUUCCGCAUCUCCUGGAGUAAUUUGUCCUAAACAUAGAUGACAAAGGAGAUCCGCACGAAUAGUUAUAGGCCCUGCGGCGUCUUCACGACUGCUCAUACGACAAAGUCUUCCCACGUGAACUUUUAAAGAACAGGGAGCAGGGGACAAAAAGUCUAACCUUAAUAACAGUUCUUUAAGUCAUAUUUUGAAUAAAUAACGUUAAUGUAUACUGUUAAUUUGAAGGUUAUCAAGUAACCAGACUUUCCAUGUAAACAUGCUGACUACUGGGAUUAUUUGAAACAAUUGGCGAAUUAAACUUAUAACAAGAAAUCUAAUGAAUACACAAUAAAUUCAUGUAAUAUUCAUAUUUGUGUAUGAUGUCAAAGGACUAUGUUAACACAUAUUUAUACGUAACAAUAAAGUUGUAAUUGUCAAA